UCAGCGCCAGCGUUUUUUCUCCGCCACAAUGCCUCUUCUCCUUCCUGGCUUCUCCACUGAAGCUCCUCGCCCUCUUUAUCUUCUCCGAUCCCUAUUAAAUCACGUCAGUGGAAAGGAUGCAUCGGCACCUUUGCCUCCUCCUCUACCGGUCUACCAUCCCCAUCUUCACGCCCAACUCGUUGUGCACCACUUGACCUGUGUCACUCGAUUCAUCUUCUUCUCCUCAACUGCAGGGCUCUGCAGCCCUCUCUCCCCCGCACUACCAUCACCUCCACCUAAUGCACCAGCGCAUGUCGCAUAUAGCACUAGCAGCAGCCGGCAGAAGCAUUGGCUUGGUCACAUUCGCCGGACUUACUCUCCUUCAUCGGCUAUGGGACAUGGGCCGAGCAGAGGUUCCGAUCCAUUGCCGCCCACCAGAUUGUCGAGGAGCUCAAGUGAAUCAGGCUACGUGCACGCCGUUUUCUCUCCUCCAGGCCCUCCUCGCGUAGGCGGCAUCGGAUGCGCAGGACGCAGCCAUCCCUGUCGCGACCCCGAUCUGUACGAGAAUUUCGAGUUCCCGCGGGAAGGAGAAGCUCACCGGGAUAGUGGUCUACCACGAGCGCCGCGUGUUUCUCUGCUGCAAGGGCCUUGACAAGUGCCGAGUCUGGCCGGCUCCUUGCUGCCGCCAUCAAAGCCCCCAAGCCUGUCCUGAAGAAAGCGUGAGCAUCUCUUCUCCUUCUCCCUCUCCCUCAAUUUGCUUUUUGAUUCGCUUGAUUUGGUGUUCUGAUGUGGUAGCUGUAUGCUUCUGCUAUGGUAGUGUUAUUUGGUUAUGUGUCUAGGAUGUUUAAAUUUCACAUGAUUAGGAUAUUAUAUGUUUCAUUACAUCUACAUAUGGAGGAACUGAGCUCUGCAUCGGAGCUUUGCCUUCUGACAGUACGUACGUCAUCUUGCUCUAGCACAUCGGCUUAAUGUACUGAUGCCACCGGUGGCGACCUUGGGUUCUGAUUGAGGCGUCAGCCAAGGACCAGGGAAUGCCAGUUCCUAAGUUUGGUAAAGUAAGUUCUGUUCAAUUUAGUUUUUCAUCAUGCUCGACCUUUUGGGCUGAAGUCGUAGGCAGCAAUACCCAACAAAGAUGGUCGCCUUUUAUACCCCUGAAAUUCGGUAAGUUUUUACAGGUUUCCUGUCGGCUGCUUAUAUUCAGAGCAAGUAACCACACGAUCUUCCAUCGGCAACUGCACACCAUUAUGUUUUAGGAGGAUAUUUAAUCUGCUUCUUUCACAUUCAGUAUUCUACAGACAACUACUGGUGCAAUGAGGUUCAACCAUGUUUUUUGCCACCGUAUGUCUUGAUGGUACUGGCAUGGACACUAAAUGUGCAACUCACAUCUAAUAAUUAGUAUUUCAUAGUUCAUAGCGCUGAAUAGAAUAUUGUGGAUAUUACAUCUAUGUAUCUUAUCACUUGCUCUCUUUUUUUGCCAGCCUGUAUCAGACUGGUUAUUGCCAUUUCAAUAUACUUUGCGGCUUAAUUUUUUCAUCAUGCUAUAAGAAGCUUCAGUUGGAUGUUUUUGAGCUAGGAGUUCCAAAUAUUUUUUUUGCAGCUGCUAUGGAAACAAGUCCCCCAUCAGUUGAUCUCAGCUUAGGUACAGUUGAUCUUUUUCUUUCUCAAUGCUAUUUUACUUCAUGCUUCGCAUUUUGCUCCAUGCUUCAGUUAGGUGAAUGAAUAAUGUCGUGAGUGAUCUUCGUUCGGAUGAUUGAGCUAAGGAAUAUUAUGGAGAUGGAACCUUUUAUCGGGUUAUUUGAGCUUGCGUUCACAUCCUUUUGUGGUUCAAGGCUUGAAACUGUUAUUUUCUGUUGGGUUUGCAUGAGCUAAGAUAAUAAGAUACAGAGAAGUCUUUCAUCCCUGAUUUGAGUUAUCAUAUAUUAGUAUCACAAAAUUCCUCACAUAUAGGUUCUUUUCUAAUCAAUGUGGCAUCAGUUCUAUGUUGAAGGACAUUACAAGAUUUAGGCAAGGAGUCAUCUCUGAUGGUCGACAUGCUAUUGCUAAAGGGUUCGCUUCAUCACUUGGCUUCCAUUUGUCACGAUUUUUGCCGCCUUCUUCCCUCUUCAUUUAUAUCAGAACUUGGUGUGAGUAAUCAUUUAUUCAUGUGGAUUUCAGUCUUCAAGUGUGAUUUGGGCCAAGAUCGACAUAAAGAUGCGUCCCUGUGUAGGUAGUUAAGAAUACGAGACUCACUUGAAUGAAUUAGAAUACGUUCCAAACUAUCUCCUGGGUAAAUGAGGUGUCAGAUCCAUAAUGCUAGCUUCAUCAAAGGUCAUCCAAAUUUGGCUAGAGGAACCGCUCAGGAUAUUUUACAAAUUACUAUUGCAGUUCCACUCCGAUUAUGGAGCAUGAGAUGUUAUCUCCAGAGACAGCAAAAAAAGACCUUGUGACAAGAUCACAUAAUAAAUGACACAAUAUUGAGUGUGCAAGGACAAGGGAAGAGUCAAUUUGAUGAGGACAUCAAUACCAUUGUUACACCCACAACCCCUACUACUAUACAUACUGGACCGAUUUCUAGAGCUCGCGCACGCCAAUUAAAUUACCAGGACCUAGCUUGGACAAGGAUGAACAUUGGAUCAAGGACAAGCAUGCAGUUGAUGGCAUGCGCAAGGAAGACAAGAACAGAGUUUCAAGUGAUGAUUUCAGGACUUUAAAGCCAUCAUAAUGAGUGCAUGAAGCCUUGGACGAAAUAUACAAGAUGCCACUUCAUAUUUUUUGUCCAGAGGCUAUUCUAGGUGCUGCGUUAUCUUAUUUUUGGGCCAGACCCAUGUAAUUUCGAAAUACUUCAAUAUAGGCUGUUUUUAGAGUCUGUAUGUGUGGGGAAACAAGAGUUAGGGUUGGUUUCGGACCCCUCCU